CCUGAGAAACGGCUACCACAUCCAAGGAAGGCAGCAGGCACGCAAAUUACCCACUCCCGGCACGGGGAGGUAGUGACAAAAAAUAACGAUACGGGACUCAUCCGAGGCCCCGUAAUCGGAAUGAGUACACUUUAAAUCCUUUAACGAGGAUCAAUUGGAGGGCAAGUCUGGUGCCAGCAGCCGCGGUAAUUCCAGCUCCAAUAGCGUAUAUUAAAGCUGUUGCGGUUANNNNUUCGUAGUUGGUUCUGUGUGCCACGCUGUCGGUUCACCGCCUGACGGUGCAACUGGCAUGCCGUGGGACGUCUUGCCGGAGAGAGUCCGGCUCGCUGCGGAACGUAGGGCUACCCCCUGCGCCCGCUUCUGGGCUGGGCCCUCGAUCUAUGAUGCCGCGGUGCUCUUUGUUGAGUGUCGCGGCAUGCCGGCAAGUUUACUUUGAACAAAUUAGAGUGCUUAAAGCAGGCUUGUAUCGCCUGAAUAGUGGUGCAUGGAAUAAUGGAAUAGGACCUUGGUUCUAUUUUGUUGGUUUUCCUUGGCAAAUGCUUUCGCGGUGAAAUUCUUGGAUCGUCGCAAGACGAACUAGAGCGAAAGCAUUUGCCAAGUAUGUCUUAGUUGAUCAAGAACGAAAGUUAGAGGUUCGAAGGCGAUCAGAUACCGCCCUAGUUCUAACCAUAAACGAUGUCAGCCAGCAAUCCGCCAAUGUUCCUCCGAUGACUUGGCGGGCAACUUCCGGGAAACCAAAGCUUUUGGGUUCCGGGGGAAGUAUGGUUGCAAAGCUGAAACUUAAAGGAAUUGACGGAAGGGCACCACCAGGAGUGGAGCCUGCGGCUUAAUUUGACUCAACACGGGAAACCUCACCAGGCCCAGACGUUGGAAGGAUUGACAGAUUGAUAGCUCUUUCUUGAUUCAGUGGGUAGUGGUGCAUGGCCGUUCUUAGUUGGUGGAACGAUUUGUCUGGUUAAUUCCGAUAACGAACGAGACUC
rnacentral:rRNA from 1 species